AGAAUCAACGCUGGCGGCGUGCCUCAGACAUGCAAGUCGAACGCGAAAGUCCCCUUCGGGGGACAAAUAGAGUGGCGCACGGGUGAGUAACACGUAGGUAAUCUACCUUCGGAUGGGGAAUAACAACCGGAAACGGUUGCUAAUACCGCAUAAUGCAGCGGCACCUAAUGGUGACAGUUGUUAAAGCGGGGGAUCGAAAGACCUCGCGUCUGAAGAGGAGCCUGCGGCGGAUUAGCUAGUUGGUAGGGUAACGGUCUACCAAGGCGACGAUCC
rnacentral:rRNA from 1 species